rnacentral:rRNA from 1 species
CACGGGGAGGUAGUGACGAAAAAUAACGAUACGGGACUCAUCCGAGGCCCCGUAAUCGGAAUGAGUACACUUUAAAACUUUUCCCGAGGAUCAAUUGGAGGGUAAGUCUGGUGCCAGCAGCCGCGGUAAUUCCAGCUCCAAUAGCGUAUAUUAAAGUUGUUGCGGUUAAAAAGCUCGUAGUCGAAUCUGUGUCCCGCGCCGCUGGUUCAUCGCUCGCGGUGUUUAACUGGCGUGUCUCGCGGGACGUCCUGCCGGUGGGCGCUCGUAUCGCUUCGGUGGUGCGUGGCCCAACUCGUAGCCGUCUCGCGCGGUUGCGAAUCCCAUCGCGGUGCUCUUUACUGAGUGUCGAGGUGGGCCGGCACGUUUACUUUGAACAAAUUAGAGUGCUUAAAGCAGGCCAAUUUUGCCUGAAUAUUGUGUGCAUGGAAUAAUGAAAUAGGACCUCGGUUCUAUUUUGUUGGUUUUCGGAACCCCGAGGUAAUGAUUAAUAGGAACGGAUGGGGGCAUUCGUAUUGCGACGUUAGAGGUGAAAUUCUUGGAUCGUCGCAAGACGGACAGAAGCGAAAGCAUUUGCCAAAAACGCUUUCAUUGAUCAAGAACGAAAGUUAGAGGUUCGAAGGCGAUCAGAUACCGCCCUAGUUCUAACCAUAAACGAUGCCAGCUAGCGAUCCGCCGACGUUCCUCCGAUGACUCGGCGGGCAGCUUCCGGGAAACCAAAGCUUUUGGGUUCCGGGGGAAGUAUGGUUGCAAAGCUGAAACUUAAAGGAAUUGACGGAAGGGCACCACCAGGAGUGGAGCCUGCGGCUUAAUUUGACUCAACACGGGACACCUCACCAGGCCC